rnacentral:tRNA from 1 species
GGAGCGGUACUCAAGUGGCUGAAGAGGACGGUUUGCUAAAUCGUUAGACGGGUUUCCCGUGCGGGGGUUCGAAUCCCCCCCGCUCCGCCA